GAUGAACGCUGGCGGCGUGCAUAACACAUUCAAGUCGAACGGAGUUAUUGAUUUGGAUCCCUUCGGGGUGAAGAAGCUUAACUAGUGGCGGACGGGUGAGUAACGCGUGAGCAACCUGCCUUUGUGAGGGGGGAUAACGUCGGGAAACUGACGCUAAUACCGCAUGAUGGUAUGAGGAACGCAUGUUUUUCAUACCAAAGAUUUAUCGCACAAAGAUGGGCUCGCGUCUGAUUAGGUAGUUGGUAAGGUAACGGCUUACCAAGCCUACGAUCAGUAGCCGGACUGAGAGGUUGAACGGCCACAUUGGAACUGAGAUACGGUCCAGACUCCUACGGGAGGCAGCAGUGGGGAAUAUUGGGCAAUGGGCGCAAGCCUGACCCAGCGACGCCGCGUGAGGGAAGAAGGUCUUCGGAUUGUAAACCUUUGUUGACAGGGACGAUAAUGACGGUACCUGUCGAGGAAGCCACGGCUAACUACGUG
rnacentral:rRNA from 1 species